rnacentral:rRNA from 1 species
CCUACGGGGGACAGCAGUAGGGAAUAUUGCUCAAUGGGGGAAACCCUGACGCAGCAACGCCGCGUGGGGGAUGAAGGUUUUCGGAUUGUAAACUCCUUUUGUUAGAGAAGAUAAUGACGGUAUCUAACGAAUAAGCACCGGCUAACUCCGUGCCAGCAGCCGCGGUAAUACGGAGGGUGCAAGCGUUACACGGAAUCACUGGGCGUAACGAGCGCGUAGGCGGGAUAGCAAGUCAGAUGUGAAAUCCUAGGGCUUAACCAUAGAACUGCAUUUGAAACUGUGAUUCUAGAGUAUGGGAGAGGUAGGUGGAAUUCCUGGUGUAGGGGUAAAAUCCGUAGAGAUCAAGAGGAAUACUCAUGGCGAAGGCGACCUGCUAGACCAUAACUGACGCUGAUGCGCGAAAGCGUGGGGAGCAAACAGGAUUAGAUACCCGUGUAGUC